rnacentral:ncRNA from 1 species
UGAAAAGCAAUGAAAAGGAAAGUAAGUUCGUGAAAAGUUUUACAGAGAGUCUGUGUUGGUGAGAGCAGAUGGAUGGACACAUACUGAAAAUGGCCUUGGAGCUGUGUAGUUGAAUUCGGAAGAUUUAGGCUACGCCGGGAGCGCCCGUUAAAGCGAUAGAGUUUGAUAGAACUUGAAGAGGUUAAUAUCCGUGAGGUAUUAAUAAAUUAAGGUGGUAACAUGAGCACGCUCAUCCUUUGG